UUUUUUUUUUUUUUUUUUAAAUAUCUACCAACAUUUUAGAAGUCUUUUAUGUAGUAUUAGCAAUUGGUUUUUGUAGAUCUACAUAAUUUUAUGAUAUUUUGUUUAUUGCUAGAAUUAUGUCAGACUUAUUUAUUUUUCUGUUUAAGAGAGUCAAUUACUAGUAGGCUGGAAAACGCUAAGACUUUCCAAAAACAAAAAGGAGUUUCUGUUUCAAUGCUUAACUUAAGUGUACAGAAUUUGACAAAUGUGAUUAGUAUUGUCAUGUUAUCAACUUGUUAUCAUUUAGUUUAUGAUUAUUACAAAAGUAUAUAUAAAACCCUUUACCAGCUACCCCAGCAAAUAUGUAUUGUUACAUAUAUAUAUUUCAAAUGAAGAUAUCUAGCUAGCAAUGGUUUUGGUUGUCUCUAGACAAACCAAAUAUAAGCAAAACAAUCAUUAGUGUGUAUGUCAUACUAUACAGUCAUGUCAUUAUCAUAGCAACGUUAUCCUAACAUAUCUUGACAUUUGUGUACAAGACAUUUGCCUUGAUACAUUUUCGCGCUAAAAAAAAAAAGUUUAAAUGUUGAGACAAACAACCCACAUUUUAUGGUUUGUUGAAAUUGUCUUUUUCUAUUUAAAACAGAUUACUAACUCAAAUGUUUAUUUUAUAUGAAAAGUCCAAAACAUCUGCUUUAAAAAUUUGAGUUGAAACGUAUUUGUAAAGGAUUGAGCGCUUGAAAAGUAACAUUGUUGAUUUGUAUUGCAACUUUCCUGAUACUUGUACAACAUUUCAAUAAGUAUUCGAAGUACUUCAUUAUACGGAUAAAAAUGUUUCAAAAAUGUGAAAUGGAUCUUUUUCAAAGCUUAUACCAACUCACUCUGUCUGUCUGUUUGUCUGUCUAUCUGUCUGUCUGGUAAAAAGUGUCUACACGUUAUUUCUCCCACACCCAUUCUCGGAUCAAGUUGAAAAUUCACACAUUUAUUCAUUGGCAUAGAUAAGACAUAAAUCAGUUUAAACAAUAUCCAAUAAGUCAAUUAAUUAUCAAUAAUUAAUUUUGUUUGAUAUCAAAUAAGGGAAAGAACUUGUACUGUAUUGAUAUAGUUAUAAGGGCGGAGUCCUUCCCCUUUAGAUAAGCUAUGUUUAUUUUAAAAAAGGAUGUUUAAAUAUUUUGCUUGUUUAAAGUAGUGAAAUGAAAAAGAAAAACAAAAACUAAGCAAUGCAAUGAAGUGAAUGUUCUCUUCCUCCUAGCCAGGUAAUCCGCGUCACUGAUCCUAUGCUCCCUUGGGAGAGCACAGGAUUAAGUCAACUGGAUCAUCAAAUCAUCGCCACUGUAUAUUGCAUGCAAGCCAAUGGGUUGAUCCGCUAUUCUCUUAACACAUAAGUUCUCUGACAUAAAAAAAGGUCACACACUUUUCUGUACUUGCUACCUUGCGCUGUACUUGCUACCUUGCGCUGUGCUUUUCUUUCUAAUGGUUUCAUGGUAUCGCAUUCUCACGAUUGAUUUGUUCUUAUUAAAUGGGCUAUAAUACAAUUUGAACUGGAAACCAGUUUGCUAGCGAAUGCACUUCUGACACCAUUUUAAAAGCCUAAAAACAAAUGUAAACAUCAACAGUUUCCUGUCUGAAAUUCUGACGUGAGCUUUUAAGACUUUACACCACAAACGAAGUUUAUUAUGUCCUAGACAAGUCUCAUGCACGAAAGCUGGGGACCUUCCGAAAAAAACAUACCGCACGAAUCGUACCUUUAAAAUGACAUCCAAGCAACUUUUUUGAAAAUAAGACUAAAAUUUUAUACUGGCAUCAACCAAAUUAUGUUUUUCUUUAUUCUUAGCUAAAUUCAUAAUCAAUUUCUUUCAUGUAGGCUAUCAGCUUAUCAUUCAUAACCACAUCAUACAUGUAUUAUGUAUUUUUGUGAUCAAAAUACUAUUUCAACUUGUAUCCUCUAUUAUCGUCCCCCACCCUUUUUUUUCUUCAGUAUUAGUUGAAGAGUCAAAUAGUAUUUAAGAUUUAUGUCAAAAAAUUAAAAAGUGAACAAAAAAU